GGCGAACGGGUGAGUAACACGUGGGUGAUCUGCCCUGCACUCUGGGAUAAGCCUGGGAAACUGGGUCUAAUACCGGAUAGGACCAUGCUUUAGUGUGUGUGGUGGAAAGUUUUUCGGUGUAGGAUGAGCCCGCGGCCUAUCAGCUUGUCGGUGGGGUAAUGGCCUACCAAGGCGGCGACGGGUAGCCGGACUGAGAGGUUGGUCGGCCACAUUGGGACUGAGAUACGGCCCAG
rnacentral:rRNA from 1 species